GAUGAACGCUGGCGGCGUGCCUAAUACAUGCAAGUCGAGCGAACGGACGAGAAGCUUGCUUCUCUGAUGUUAGCGGCGGACGGGUGAGUAACACGUGGAUAACCUACCUAUAAGACUGGGAUAACUUCGGGAAACCGGAGCUAAUACCGGAUAAUAUUUUGAACCGCAUGGUUCAAAAGUGAAAGACGGUCUUGCUGUCACUUAUAGAUGGAUCCGCGCUGCAUUAGCUAGUUGGUAAGGUAACGGCUUACCAAGGCAACGAUGCAUAGCCGACCUGAGAGGGGGAUCGGCCACACUGGAACUGAGACACGGUCCAGACUCCUACGGGAGGCAGCAGUAGGGAAUCUUCCGCAAUGGGCGAAAGCCUUACGGAGCAACGCCGCGUGAGUGAUGAAGGUCUUCGGAUCGUAAAACUCUGUUAUUAGGGAAGAACAUAUGUGUAAGUAACUGUGCACAUCCUGACGGUACCUAAUCAGAAAGCCACGGCUAACUACGUG
rnacentral:rRNA from 1 species